CGUUCGUCGACGUCGUCGUCGAGGAGUUUGAUCCUGGCUCAGGACGAACGCUGGCGGCGUGCUUAACACAUGCAAGUCGAACGGAAAGGCCCAGCUUGCUGGGUACUCGAGUGGCGAACGGGUGAGUAACACGUGGGUGAUCUGCCCUGCACUCUGGGAUAAGCCUGGGAAACUGGGUCUAAUACCGGAUAUGACCAACUGUCGCAUGGUGGUUGGUGGAAAGCUUUUGCGGUGUGGGAUGGGCCCGCGGCCUAUCAGCUUGUUGGUGGGGUAAUGGGCCUACCAAGGCGACGACGGGUAGCCGACCUGAGAGGGUGAUCGGCCACACUGGGACUGAGACACGGCCCAGACUCCUACGGGAGGCAGCAGUGGGGAAUAUUGCACAAUGGGCGCAAGCCUGAUGCAGCGACGCCGCGUGAGGGAUGACGGCCUUCGGGUUGUAAACCUCUUUCACCAGGGACGAAGCGUGAGUGACGGUACCUGGAGAAGAAGCACCGGCCAACUACGUG
rnacentral:rRNA from 1 species